CGGCAGCACGGGCCCUCCGAGCAUCCCCCCGGGGAGGGCGGCCCUCGGUGCCACCGCCAGCAUCCCUGGCAGUCACCGGCAUCCCUGGCACCCGCCCCUUUGCCGCCAAAUGGGAAUUUCACAGGAACUGCAGAUUACUGCCUCUGCUCAGCCCCCCAUUCAAGAGAGGAUUUGGAUACCUUGUGAGAGUUGGAUGGCUUGUGAGGUAAACAGAUCAUGUAAGAGCUUUUGCUGCUGACAGCUGUUCUGUAAAGUUAAUAUUUACCUAUGUGAAAAUGCACGGGAAGGACCUCUGGCCAUAAUCUGACUCCCUACUGACAUGGGAGGUGGAGGUAUGCAUCUGCAUCCCCUUGUUUUCUUCCCCAUUGCGUGGAGGCACAGAAGGCAGACUGGCCAGGAUAGGGUCACUCCAGCAGCUGAACAAGUAAGGGACCAUGAAGUACCUGGCAGGUGUGAAAAUCUUGAUGCUCUGCAUUAGCUCGAUAGAAAGGAUGUACCCAAAUUGACUACAUUACUCUGUGCUUCAAGAGCAAAGGCAAGAUUUCUUCUUCAACACUGCAUUGCCAGUCCUGGUUGUCAGUGGUGCCAGUUCUCCUUCACCCAUGGGAAGAAGAGACAGGGAGAAGGACCAAAGUUUUGCAAAACUACAAGGAUUCACUACUGCCUCCAGUGGGGAUGGUGGUAUGUAGGUUGGCCUGGCUAGAAUCAAUUACCGUAGCUCCAGUAUCACAAGGAGCAUGGAAAGAGAAAAACUGGCCUUAAAAACCAGUUGCACAAAGAAGCAAAUCUGUAGAAGACACUGCCAAGGAGUGAAAGCAAACCUCAGCAGGCUUGUUGUGCCUGGGAGUUGUCCUUGAGGAAAAAAAAUGUAUUCAUACAUCAUAUUGGACAUUUUCAAGCUGGAUUUGUCAUUGCCCCCAUGAAGUGGCUCUACUUGUGAAAUAGGUCCCUCCCCUUCCCCACUCAUAUGAAAUAUAAUGGAUAAGCAAUCAAAACUCA